rnacentral:lncRNA from 1 species
UGAAUACAUUCCUCAUGUUUAAAACCUUUUCAAAUUAUCUUAUUAUUUUAAUUUCCACCUUUUAGGUUGGUUGGUAAUCUUUAAUAUUUAUAAUUCAUCCUUAUUUCCCCAGAGUCAAUGUGGCCCAUUAUCAAUCAAAGUCUGUGCUGGAGGGCGAUUAGUUUACAGGGUUAGGAGGAAAGGAAAGUGAAGAGGAAGAUUCUAGGGCCCGAUUCUCAACCUUCCUCUCCUUCCUCCAGAACUGACUUCUCUUGGACUCCUUCUGUUUCACAUGUUUUUCUCUUUUAGGGCCUCAUUCUCUUCCUAAGGACCUGGACUAUGCCUUCUUCAAUAACAGUCAUCUUAACUACAUCCUGCUUCCCAAGUCGUCCUCCCUGGGGAUGUCUGGGACACUCCGGCCUCACAGAAUGCUGGCAUGCUCAUUUGGCUCCAAUACUGAAAUCACUACGGGAAAGCAUGACCACUGGUGCUAACAGAUUAGUUCAAUCUCAGCUUCAAGAUUUAUCAUGGCAUUGACCUUUGGUCCACAUCUAUACAGCCUCUGGCUCAUUUCCGCACCAGCCAGUCGCUCUACCACCAACCACUCUUCCACAUUGGACACUUUGAUCUGUGACCAUCCAGUCUCACCUGUGGGAACAUUCCCAGCCCUACCAGAUAAGAUAUGUGAAUUGAUUCUUGCAUGAUACGAGAGACAUGGACAGAGUCUUGCCAAAUUGCCUAGGAUGACUUCAAACUCACAAUUCUCGUGCCUCAACCUCCUAAGUAGCUGGAAUUGCAGGCAUGUGCCAAAAUACCCAAUUUCUCCUGAAUGUUUGAAUUCAAGUGUUUAUGGCAUGUUUUCUCUUUUCUUACAGCAAAGACUUUCUUUUGUUUGGGAAAAUUUAUCAUGAGACCACACUCCUUUCAGGAGUAUUGAACUUUUAAAAGAGCUCAACAAAAAGGUCUAUGUUUAAAUAA